rnacentral:rRNA from 1 species
UACAGAGGGUGCGAGCGUUAAUCGGAAUUACUGGGCGUAAAGCGCGCGUAGGCGGCUUUGCAAGUCGGGUGUGAAAUCCCCAGGCUCAACCUGGGAACUGCAUUCGAGACUGCAUUGCUAGAGUAUGGGAGAGGGAAGUGGAAUUUCCGGUGUAGCGGUGAAAUGCGUAGAUAUCGGGAGGAACACCAGCGGCGAAGGCGGGCAUCUGGGCUAACACUGACGCUGAGGCGCGAAAGCUAGGGGAGCAAACAGG